rnacentral:tRNA from 1 species
GGGCGUUUAUUCCGUAAGUGGUAGCGGAGGGGAUUGUAAAUCCCCGGUCAUUGCGACUCGAGUGGUUCGACUCCAUUAACGCCCACCA